GUACUGACUCAUCCAUCUUCAGAACAUGGAUUAUAUUCCAAACAUCUACUCUGAUUGAACUGCUAAGCAUGAGGAAAAUGUUCUCCACUCUCUGAAAAAAGAACAGAACUAUGCUGUCGCGGAACCGAUCAAUGGUUUACAGAGUCACAGCUAAACCCUCUGCCAAUCUGCUCCUACGAGGACAUCAGGUUCAGCAUCUAUUCUUAUUAAGUCUCUUGGACCAAGAGUCUCCUGGGGAAAAACUUCAUCACCUUAAGAGAAGAACUGCACACUGAUGCACAUUUAUAGACUUUUCAUCCCCACAAGCUUUGUCACAAGUGACAUUGGGUUUUGUCCUUUUGAGAUGAGCAAGCAAUGUUCAAGAUGCAGACAAACUUGGGACUCAUACGCCUGAAGAUCUCAUUCCUGAAGUUUCCGCCAAGGGAAACUUCUGGUUUUUUACCCAACAAAAGCAGUGGAUUCAUUUAGCUUCUCUGCAGUGACUUUAUCAUCUCUGAGUGCUGCCCGGACUUGCUGCCCAGCCUACCUGGCCAUACACUGCACCUUGCUUCCCAGCCCUCUCCCACGUUGGAUGCAGCAUCCCUCUUUUCUUUAAAAUAUAUAGCAGUUAAUGUUCUCAUUUGAUGUAUGCUUUACAAAAAGUAGUUAUAUUUUUCAUGUAUAAUGCAUGCACUUAAUUGCCUACUAUAUGAAAAGCACAGUCCUGCAAAUGCAUAGGAGAGAUCUUGUCAGAGUAACGAAUAAUUGUCCUCCAGCUCAACA